rnacentral:lncRNA from 1 species
AUUAUAUUAUAUUAUAUUAUAUAUAUAUAUAUGACAAAGAAAGAAAGAAAAGAAACAGAGAGCAAAACAAAACAGAGAAGGGAGAAAGAAAGAAACAGAGAGCAAAACGAAACAGAGAAGGAAGGAAGGAAAGAAAGAAAGAAAAGAAAAGAAAAAGGGAAAUUUGGGGUUUUAAGGUUCAAAGUAAUUUGGUAAGUCAAUUUAAUCCCCUUUUCUCUUAAUUUUGAUAUUUUUUUUGAAAUCCUAGAAUAAAAUACUACUUGAUUUAAGUUGAAAUUUUGAAAGUUAGUAGAUUAUUAAGCAUGGUUCAUGUUGAAUAAAUUGUUAAAUUAGGGAUGUAUUUGAUAGAAAUUUUGAUUGGAAUUGAAUAAAGGAUUGAAUUGUAAACUAAACUAUAAGUUUUGAAUUUUAGGGAUUAAUUUGAAAUAAAUUCGGAAUUAUGAAAACAUGAUAAAAAUUAAAUAGUUAAAUAUGAGUUUAGUAAGAAUUAAGAGAGAAUAUAGAGUUAGAUUGGGAAAAAUAAAAUUAGUAUUGGUAAGGGAUUAAAUUAGAAUUUGGGUAAAGUUUAGGUAUAAAAGGAAAUAUUUUAAUGAAAUUGUGUAUUAAUGAUUUUUAAUUGUUUAAUUACGUAGCUAAUGUCGUGUACGAGUCAUUGUCCGAGAAAGGAAAGGAGAAAGUGGACAAGGAGUGACUCGAGAGAAAUUACGGUUAGUAUUACUAUAAUUCGAAUUUAAUUAUUAAUCGUUGAAAAUUAAAUUAAUAUACACGAUAAGCAAAUUGAGGUGAGUUUCAUAAUUGAAUUGAAUAAUAUAUAUACGUAUUGAUAUUGAAUUUAUUGACAGUAAUUAUUGAAUUUUGAAUAAUAUGUUAGUAAAUAAAAAUAAGGAGAAUAUCAAUAUUUAAUUGAAUGAAUUAAAAUAUGAAUUGAAUAAAUGAGAUAUUAAAUUGAGAUAUGUGAAUAUGUGAAUUGUGUAUUGAUUGAAAAGUGGUUUGAAUUGAAUCGAAGUAUGAUUAUAUGUGAAUAUCUGAAAUAUGUAUUGGUAUUGAAUUGUAUAUUGAUUUGAAAGUGGGAAGUGAAUCUGAGUUGAAUUGCGAUUAAAUCGAAAGUGAAUUUGAAAUAGAAAAAUGUAUUGAAACAAAUGGUGAUUAAAUGGGAAUGAUUUGAAUUGAAAGUAUGAGAAAGUGAUUGAAUUGAAAUGUGAUUCGGAAACCCUAUUAACUAGUCGGGCUGAGUCGGAUAUAGUUGGCAUGCCAUAGGAUUGGAAGAGUUCAGGGAUACUUCGACCUUGAGUCGAUGAGACACUGGGUGUCACUAUAUUUCUUCGGAUAGAUUCGAUGAGGUACUGGGUACCAACUUUACUUCGGCUGGGCCGAUGAGACACUGGGUGUCAACUAUUGCUUCGAACUAUCCGAUGAGGCACUGGGUGCCAUUUUGGUGUGUUUGGUUGGAUCCGUGUAUCCGCCAAGGUCCGAGUCUUGUUAAUAGGGGUAAAUAAUUGAAAUGAGAAAAUUGAAUAAAUGUGAUUGAUUGAGCUAUGGGAAGAAACGAAAAAGUGAAGUUGUGAAUUGAUGUGUGAAUUGGAAAUCGAAAUAAGAGAUUUAAAGAUAUGAGCCCAAAGUUCAUGAUGUGAUAAAGAGUAAAUUUUGUUAUAUGAUAUUAGUGAGUACAAAUUGCAAUAAAAUUUAUAUUGAAUAUAAAUUAAAUGAAAUGACUUGUAUAUGAAUUGAAAUGAACUAUUGGAAUGAGAUGUAAAGAAAAAUCCAAUGGAAUUGAGAUAGUGAAAUAAGGUAUGAAUACAAUUAAAUACAAGAUUUGAAUUAUAGCUUAUUGUUAUUAAUUAUCAAGUUGAUUUAAUGCAUGAGAUAAUUAAUGAAUAAUUGUAGACAUAAAUAAAAUGUAUAUAAUUUAUCGAUUAAUGUUAUUAAUUCGAAUUAUGGUAAUACCACUGAGUAUUUCCAUACUCAGCGUACGGUUGUUUCCGUGCGCAGGUUAGGUCAAAGUCGGAUUGUUGAAUCAGCAUCCAAAGCCGAUUCUGAGCUAAUUGUGGUGGUGAACAUUUCUUUUAGUUAUGGCAUGUAUAGGAAUUUAGUAAUUUUGUAUAUUUGUAAAUAUGAUUUCACUAUAGAAUGAUGUGUAAGUAUUUGAUGAUGAAUGGUUGUUUAAAUGGUCAAGGAUGAAGUUAAUUAUUGUUAUAAAAGUCUAAGUGAUAAAUUAGGUAUGAAAGUCAUAAAAUGGUAAAAUUUUGCAAAGAAACAGAAUUCAGGCAGCAAUAGUGACGUGAAUUUGAAAAAUCACCCAAGAUAGUAUAAAAUGAAUUAGAGGAUGAAUGAUAUAUGGAAUUAAAGCUUGUUGAGUCUAUUUUCAUGAAAAAAUAACGGUGUAGAGAAAAGAAAUUUAUAUUUUAAGAUAUGUGAAUUUUAGUAAGAUAGGGUCAGAACUGUUUUUGGAGUCCCCUGUUCUGAGUUUAGAAAAUAAUUAAAAAUUGUACAAAAAUGGUUAUGAGUUGAAAUUUACAUGCUUAGAUUCCUUAAUGAGUCUAUUUUCUAUAGAAAUAAGUAAGAACUUCAUAUGAAAAUCCUAUAGUGAGAAAACUUAUUUUUAGUGACUAGAGGUCAGGGCAGUCUGGUGGUGACAC